rnacentral:rRNA from 1 species
AUGCCCCUCUUUCAGGAAUUCUAUGUGGGCUCUAUUAACCUGCGUUUCCUGAAGUUCAGGGUCAUCACACUGAUCCCCAACGUCCAUGGAGCCUCAAAUAUCUGGCAAUACUGCCCCAUCACAGUGAUUAAUGUGAUAUUAUGCAUCUUGGCAAAGGGGUACACCAAUAGGGUGACCCCCUUGGCCAACCCAAUUACCCAUCCGGAUCAGUAUGCCUUCAUCCAGGGGCGGUAUAUCCUGGAUGGGGUCCUUAUACUCCACGAGGUUCUUCACGAGACCCGCACCAAAAAUCUCAAAGGCGUCUUCCUGAAAAUCGACAUCCGUAAGGCCUAUGACACGGUCAGUUGGUCUUUCCUCCAGGAAGUGUUGCUCCGGAAAGGAUUUGACGACCGCUGGGUUACCCGGUUCAUGUAG